rnacentral:rRNA from 1 species
AUUGAACGCUGGCGGCAUGCCUUACACAUGCAAAUCGAACGGCAGCACGGGUGCUUGCCCCUGGUGGCGAGUGGCGAACGGGUGAGUAAUACAUCGGAACAUGUCCUGUAGUGGGGGAUAGCCCGGCGAAAGCCGGAUUAAUACCGCAUACGAUCCACGGAUGAAAGCGGGGGACCUUCGGGCCUCGCGCUAUAGGGUUGGCCGAUGGCUGAUUAGCUAGUUGGUGGGGUAAAGGCCUACCAAGGCGACGAUCAGUAGCUGGUCUGAGAGGACGACCAGCCACACUGGGACUGAGACACGGCCCAGACUCCUACGGGAGGCAGCAGUGGGGAAUUUUGGACAAUGGGCGAAAGCCUGAUCCAGCAAUGCCGCGUGUGUGAAGAAGGCCUUCGGGUUGUAAAGCACUUUUGUCCGGAAAGAAAUCCUUGACUCUAAUACAGUCGGGGGAUGACGGUACCGGAAGAAUAAGCACCGGCUAACUACGUG